GCCCUUCAUCCAGUUCCCUACCUUUCCGCCUUCACAGCGAUCUCCUCCAUUACCCCCAUCUUCCCUCAUCUCCGGACAGACUGAUCCUGAGGGUCCUGAGGAGCCUAAGCUGCAGGGAGUGAGGGAAGAAAAGAAAAGUGAGCCCAGCUGUUUGAUGCACAUGUACACCACCUGUGGCCCUCUCUCCUCCUAGAAGACGGAGGGUGAUGGUGUCUUCUCAUAAAUGUUUCUGGUGUGGCUUGAGGAAGAGAAGAGAAUUUUAGGGCAGUUUUGUAGAGGAUAUUUCCCACAAGUGACCACUCACCCUCCAGAGACCACUUCACUCCCGGGUUUGGCGAUUCUUCUCCUUGCUUCACUGUUGCCCCAGAUUUGGGGAGCCUCACUAUGUCUAAUGCUGUGGUGAAAAAGGAGCACGUUCCAAUUACAGAUGGAAUGAUUUUUAUCAUCAAGGGAUGAUAAAACUCUUCUAUUCCCAACAUCUCCCUUUUCAAUUCUACCCAUGCUGCAUAUACUUUUGUAUUGAUCUUCUCCUGGCUGUUUGUACGUGGUGGCUCCCUCAACGCCCACCUGCCAGCCCUUCCUAAUCAAUCUACCCCCCACCUAAAAUCUAUCUCCCACACUUUCCACUUUGGCCAUUUUUGCUGGCUUUUAGGGAAAAGAGAGAACCAUCUUUGUCCCGUACCUUGGUUAUUUGGAACUUAAUGAUGUCAUUGCUAGUCUUAAUCAUCCAGAAAGUCACCCAGAACAACUCCCAGCCCCUCAAAGGUUUCCAAAUGUCCCUUCACACCUUGGCAACUGCUUCACUUUAGAUCACCUCUUUGCUUCUGAAGGGGGUCUCUGUGCUCUGGCCAAUACUUCCU
rnacentral:lncRNA from 1 species